rnacentral:rRNA from 1 species
AGUGAACGCUGGCGGUAGGCCUAACACAUGCAAGUCGAACGGCAGCACAGUAAGAGCUUGCUCUUACGGGUGGCGAGUGGCGGGCGGGUGAGGAAUACAUCGGAAUCUACUUUUUCGUGGGGGAUAACGUAGGGAAACUUACGCUAAUACCGCAUACGACCUACGGGUGAAAGCAGGGGAUCUUCGGACCUUUCGCGAUUGAAUGAGCCGAUGUCGGAUUAGCUAGUUGGCGGGGUAAAGGCCCACCAAGGCGACGAUCCGUAGCUUGCCUGAGAGGAUGAUCAGCCACACUGGAACUGAGACACGGUCCAGACUCCUACGGGAGGCAGCAGUGGGGAAUAUUGGACAAUAGGCGCAAGCAUGAUCCAGCCAUACCGCGUGGGUGAAGAAGGCCUUCGGGUUGUAAAGCCCUUUUGUUGGGAAAGAAAAGCAGCAGGUUAAUACCCCGCUGUUCUGACGGUACCCAAAGAAUAAGCACCGGCUAACUUCGUG